rnacentral:rRNA from 1 species
CGUUGCACUAUCGUUAACUGAAUACAUAGGUUAACGAGGCGAACCGGGGGAACUGAAACAUCUAAGUACCCCGAGGAAAAGAAAUCAACCGAGAUUCCCCCAGUAGCGGCGAGCGAACGGGGAGCAGCCCGGAGUCUGAAUCAGCUUGUGUGUUAGUGGAACGGUCUGGAAAGUCCGACGGUACAGGGUGAUAGUCCCGUACACGAAAGCACACAUGCUGUGAACUCGAAGAGUAGGGCGGGACACGUGGUAUCCUGUCUGAAUAUGGGGGGACCAUCCUCCAAGGCUAAAUACUCCUGACUGACCGAUAGUGAACCAGUACCGUGAGGGAAAGGCGAAAAGAACCCCGGCGAGGGGAGUGAAAAAGAACCUGAAACCGUGUACGUACAAGCAGUGGGAGCCUCUUUAUGGGGUGACUGCGUACCUUUUGUAUAAUGGGUCAGCGACUUAUAUUCUGUAGCAAGGUUAACCGUAUAGGGGAGCCGAAGGGAAACCGAGUCUUAACUGGGCGUUAAGUUGCAGGGUAUAGACCCGAAACCCGGUGAUCUAGCCAUGGGCAGGUUGAAGGUUGGGUAACACUAACUGGAGGACCGAACCGACUAAUGUUGAAAAAUUAGCGGAUGACCUGUGGCUGGGGGUGAAAGGCCAAUCAAACCGGGAGAUAGCUGGUUCUCCCCGAAAGCUAUUUAGGUAGCGCCUCGUGAACUCAUCUUCGGGGGUAGAGCACUGUUUCGGCUAGGGGGCCAUCCCGGCUUACCAACCCGAUGCAAACUACGAAUACCGAAGAAUGUUAUCACGGGAGACACACGGCGGGUGCUAACGUCCGUCGUGAAGAGGGAAACAACCCAGACCGCCAGCUAAGGUCCCAAAGUCAUGGUUAAGUGGGAAACGAUGUGGGAAGGCACAGACAGCCAGGAUGUUGGCUUAGAAGCAGCCAUCAUUUAAAGAAAGCGUAAUAGCUCACUGGUCGAGUCGGCCUGCGCGGAAGAUGUAACGGGGCUAAACCAUGCACCGAAGCUGCGGCAGCGACACUAUGUGUUGUUGGGUAGGGGAGCGUUCUGUAAGCCGUUGAAGGUGUGCUGUGAGGCAUGCUGGAGGUAUCAGAAGUGCGAAUGCUGACAUAAGUAACGAUAAAGCGGGUGAAAAGCCCGCUCGCCGGAAGACCAAGGGUUCCUGUCCAACGUUAAUCGGGGCAGGGUGAGUCGACCCCUAAGGCGAGGCCGAAAGGCGUAGUCGAUGGGAAACAGGUUAAUAUUCCUGUACUUGGUGUUACUGCGAAGGGGGGACGGAGAAGGCUAUGUCAGCCGGGCGACGGUUGUCCCGGUUUAAGCAUGUAGGCGGAGGUUCCAGGUAAAUCCGGUACCUUUUAACGCUGAGGUGUGAUGACGAGGCACUACGGUGCUGAAGUGAUAAAUGCCCUGCUUCCAGGAAAAGCCUCUAAGCAUCAGGUAACAUCAAAUCGUACCCCAAACCGACACAGGUGGUCAGGUAGAGAAUACCAAGGCGCUUGAGAGAACUCGGGUGAAGGAACUAGGCAAAAUGGUGCCGUAACUUCGGGAGAAGGCACGCUGAUGUGUAGGUGAAGCCCCUGCGGGCGGAGCUGAAAUCAGUCGAAGAUACCAGCUGGCUGCAACUGUUUAUUAAAAACACAGCACUGUGCAAACACGAAAGUGGACGUAUACGGUGUGACGCCUGCCCGGUGCCGGAAGGUUAAUUGAUGGGGUUAGCGGCAACGCGAAGCUCUUGAUCGAAGCCCCGGUAAACGGCGGCCGUAACUAUAACGGUCCUAAGGUAGCGAAAUUCCUUGUCGGGUAAGUUCCGACCUGCACGAAUGGCGUAAUGAUGGCCAGGCUGUCUCCACCCGAGACUCAGUGAAAUUGAACUCGCUGUGAAGAUGCAGUGUACCCGCGGCAAGACGGAAAGACCCCGUGAACCUUUACUAUAGCUUGACACUGAACACUGGUCCUUGAUGUGUAGGAUAGGUGGGAGGCUUUGAAGCGUGGACGCCAGUCUGCGUGGAGCCGACCUUGAAAUACCACCCUUUAAUGGCUGGUGUUCUAACGUAGACCCGUAAUCCGGGUUGCGGACAGUGUCUGGUGGGUAGUUUGACUGGGGCGGUCUCCUCCCAAAGAGUAACGGAGGAGCACGAAGGUUGGCUAAUCCUGGUCGGACAUCAGGAGGUUAGUGCAAUGGCAUAAGCCAGCUUGACUGCGAGCGUGACGGCGCGAGCAGGUGCGAAAGCAGGUCAUAGUGAUCCGGUGGUUCUGAAUGGAAGGGCCAUCGCUCAACGGAUAAAAGGUACUCCGGGGAUAACAGGCUGAUACCGCCCAAGAGUUCAUAUCGACGGCGGUGUUUGGCACCUCGAUGUCGGCUCAUCACAUCCUGGGGCUGAAGUAGGUCCCAAGGGUAUGGCUGUUCGCCAUUUAAAGUGGUACGCGAGCUGGGUUUAGAACGUCGUGAGACAGUUCGGUCCCUAUCUGCCGUGGGCGCUGGAGAAUUGAGGGGGGCUGCUCCUAGUACGAGAGGACCGGAGUGGACGCAUCACUGGUGUUCGGGUUGUCAUGCCAAUGGCACUGCCCGGUAGCUAAAUGCGGAAGAGAUAAGUGCUGAAAGCAUCUAAGCACGAAACUUGCCCCGAGAUGAGUUCUCCCUGAGACUUUAAGUCUCCUGAAGGAACGUUGAAGACGACGACGUUGAUAGGUCGGGUGUGUAAGCGCAGCGAUGCGUUGAGCUAACCGAUACUAAUGAACCGUGAGGCUUAACCUU